rnacentral:rRNA from 1 species
CUAGGAAUCUGCCUGGUAGUGGGGGAUAACGUUCGGAAACGGACGCUAAUACCGCAUACGUCCUACGGGAGAAAGCAGGGGACCUUCGGGCCUUGCGCUAUCAGAUGAGCCUAGGUCGGAUUAGCUAGUUGGUGAGGUAAUGGCUCACCAAGGCGACGAUCCGUAACUGGUCUGAGAGGAUGAUCAGUCACACUGGAACUGAGACACGGUCCAGACUCCUACGGGAGGCAGCAGUGGGGAAUAUUGGACAAUGGGCGAAAGCCUGAUCCAGCCAUGCCGCGUGUGUGAAGAAGGUCUUCGGAUUGUAAAGCACUUUAAGUUGGGAGGAAGGGCAGUUACCUAAUACGUGAUUGUUUUGACGUUACCGACAGAAUAAGCACCGGCUAACUCUGUGCCAGCAGCCGCGGUAAUACAGAGGGUGCAAGCGUUAAUCGGAAUUACUGGGCGUAAAGCGCGCGUAGGUGGUUUGUUAAGUUGGAUGUGAAAUCCCCGGGCUCAACCUGGGAACUGCAUUCAAAACUGACUGACUAGAGUAUGGUA